rnacentral:misc_RNA from 1 species
UUUGGUCUUUCAUCGGACUGGGGACCGACGAGACCUGCAACUAGGUCACCAUGACAGACAAUCCGACGAUAACGUAUGGCGUCAAAGAUGGGGAAACCGUGUAUCUCGUGAACCAGAGCACCAACACUUGCUUGGCUGUCACGAGCGGAUCAAGCCCUGAUGACGCCGUGGUCGGCAUGGCCCCGUAUGAUGGGAGCCAGGGACAGCAGUGGACUAGGUCUGGGGACCAGUGGCUAUGGGGAGGAAACUCCUCAUACUGUCUGGAGCCGAUUUCUGGCACAAACAACGUAGGUCUAGGAAAUACUAGCAAUUCAUCAGCUUCCUGGGUCUAUGAUGAGUCUGAGAGAAUAGUGUUGGGGUCAGAUGCUCUGGAUGUACCAGGUACAGAGCCGAGGACACAAGUCACAUUGAAUCCUCUGCACAAUGGUCUUAACCAGAAAUGGUGGUUUGAGUCUUUGGAAACCAAAGAGCCAGAAUAUCUCAUCAGUCAGGUUACCAGUACAUGUCUCGCAGUACGCAGUGGUUCUGUGCCAAGUGAUGCUGAAGUUGGACUCCUGUAUUGUAGUGGAAGUAAGGAAGAGGGAUGGUUCCCCUUCGGCGGCUCAUGGCAGUGGGCAGGGAAUCGCUCUUACUGCCUUGGUGCAGAUUACAGCACUCGGGAUGUGAAACUAGAAGAUAGUAGUAAUUCGACUGCAAUUUGGACCUGGGACGAAGCUGAGAGAUUCAGGAUUGGCUCAUAUGCUCUCGAUGUUCCCAAGAGAAAUCCAAGAACAGAAGUUUGGUUGUAUUCUCCUCACGAUGGACUCAAUCAAAAGUGGUGGAAAUUCUCCGACUUGAAAACAAAUCUAGAAGGAGCUCCACCGGCAGUCUACCCAUUCCCUGGUAGUGAUGAAACAACAUACAAGCAGGAAAUAUAUAGGGGAAUCGUGAAUGAGCUGAGUUCAAAAUCUGAUCCUCUUCCUCACCCUCGAGAUGUGGCUACCUUUCCUGGAACAGUUGAUGCUAGCACACCAAGAGUUACAAAGAAGGUGACUCUAGAUCUAUCUGUACUUGGACAAGACAGAGAUUUCCGAAUGACAGUUCCCUGGGACUGGCAGCUCACUGACCUGUACCUAGCAGCAGGAGACGUGUGUCAGGUUAUUCUGCCUGAAACUUUAUCAGAGGCACAAGCACUGCAGAUCACUGUUCGCAUUGGUGCACAAACUGACUGGCUUCAACCAAAUUCUUCUAAUGUCAUCAAUGGACAGUACAAACGCAUGCCCAUAGUGUCUGAGGUAUUCGAUGUCAAGCCAGGUGUGACUGAGAUCAGGAGUCAGUAUGGAGGCAACAUCAUAUUUAUGUUCAGUGAAGGGGAACAUUUCACAGUUGAUGUUGAUGUCACGAACGUGGUCGAAGCGCCAUACUAUCGCUAUGGACAGACAUCGAAUGCAGAAUGGGAAACUAUCAAAAUGAGAGAUGCUCCACAGACUCUAAUGGAAUCAGAUAAAUGUGUGGUUGCUGUUGCCACAAAGGAUGCAAGAAAAGUAACCAAUCCUGACGAACUGAUGUCUCGUUAUGAGGAAAUUAUGGGAAUGCUAAAUUAUGCUGCAGGUUUUGAUGAGUCUGAAGCUCCACCACGCGGUAAACAAUGGCUGGUGAAUGAUACUCAGAUUACAGUUGGAGGAGCCCACGCUGGAUUUCCACUUAUGUUUUGGCGUUUGUAUUUUAACAUGGCUGAUAAUCGCACUCCCUAUGACUGGGUAAGUUGGCAUGAACUUGGACACAACUACCAGCAGUGGCAAUACUGGUCAUAUGCUUAUGGUAGCGAAUCAACAGUCAACUUAUUUUCACUGUACAUUCAGGAGCAACUGUUUGAUAGUGACAGAUUGGAAGAGCAGAAUACUUACGUCACAGCAGCUGAUAAAGUGGACAAUGGAAUGACUUUUGACGAGGGAGACGUGUGGGAUCAGUUGGUGUUCCUGAUGGAGAUCAAGCAUGCCUUCCCAUUAGGGUGGGAAAUGUUCCGUCAACUCAACCGUACAACUCGAGCUCUUUCUGACGACGAAGCCAACUAUUUGGCACAAGAUCGUCAACGGCAGAUCGACCAUGUGUACAAGAACCUCAGCAAGAGCGUGGGUUACGACCUAGUCCUUACCUACGAGCGCUGGGGUCUGAGCCUAAGCCAGGAAGCCAAGGACGAAAUAGAGCAACUGGGUCUGGAGAAGGCGCCGGGAGACCUCUCUCACCGAGCCGCAGGGAAAGCCGUCCCAAGUAACAGAUGUGUCUGACGCUCAGAUGUAUACACCAUGUGUUAUCCUACAGAGGAAGGUCUAAGGGAAAAGGCUUUCUAAAGCUUUAAAGAUCCAAAGUUGAUAGUCUGGUAGGAUUAUAAGGAAAGAGGAACUUGAUUUUCACUUUAGUAUUUUGAUUUCAAAUGGAGGGUAAUUAGAUAUUCUACUUUACAUUGAAGCUCUGCAAUCAUAAACAUG